rnacentral:SRP_RNA from 2 species
GCUGGGCAUGGUGGUGCAUGCCUGUAAUCCCAGCUUCUUAGGAGGCUGAGGCAGGAGAAUCACUCGAAUCCAGGAGGUGGAGUUUGCAGUGGGCUGAAAUCACACCACUGCACUCCAGCCUGGGCAACAGAGUGAGACUCCGUCUCAA